CCCUUAGAUGUUCUGGGCCGCACGCGCGCUACACUGACGAAUUCAACGAGCUUAUAACCUUGGCCGAAAGGUCUAGGUAAUCUCCAAAAUUCGUCGUGAUGGGGAUAGACUUUUGCAAUUUUUGGUCUUCAACGAGGAAUUCCUAGUAAACGCAAGUCAUCAACUUGCAUUGAUUACGUCCCUGCCCUUUGUACACACCGCCCGUCGCACCUACCGAUUGAAUGGUCCGGUGAAGCCUCCGGAUUGGCGCGCACCUCGGUGCCGCCGAGAAGUUGGCUAAACCUUACCAUUUAGAGGAAGGUGAAGUCGUAACA
rnacentral:rRNA from 1 species